rnacentral:rRNA from 1 species
UACGAAGGGGGCUAGCGUUGUUCGGAAUUACUGGGCGUAAAGCGCGCGCAGGCGGCCAUUCAAGUCAGGGGUGAAAGCCCAGAGCUCAACUCUGGAACUGCCCCUUGAAACUGCAUGGCUUGAGUACGAGAGAGGUGAGUGGAAUUCCCCAGUGUAGAGGUGAAAUUCGUAGAUAUUGGGAAGAACACCGGUGGCGAAGGCGGCUCACUGGCUCGUUUACUGA